rnacentral:lncRNA from 1 species
UGAAUAGCUGGCCUAAAUAUGGCCCAGUAUUUUUGUGGCAUGUAUCAAGGCCUCUGAAGAAUAUGAAAAAUAUUAGGAAAAUGCAACCAGAUAAGAAAGUAAGUCUGUACUUGAAGUGCAUUAUUUGGCAGGGGCCAGAGUGCCUCAGUCACACCCAUCUCCAACAUGUCUUCCAUGCAGUUCUAAGAGUUCUUUUUCUAACAUGAAGAUGCUAUUGUGUCACUGCACUUUGCGAUUUUUUUCAAUGUCUCUUCCUUUCCUACAGAAUAAGGCAUAUUUCCUUUUCAUAAUAUCGUGUCUGGUUCUGCCCAUGUAUAAUACUCAUUUUCUAUUUCCUCAGGAGUUGGUAUUUGUUUGUUUGGUUUUGGGGCUUUUAAAAUUAUGUUUCCAUAUUUUCUUCCUCUGCUCAUAAUCCAUUUUGGAUGUUAUCCCCCUAUAUUAUUUUGCAAUAAUUCUCUUCAUAUUAUAUGUUAGUAGGAUGUGGGUGCUACCUACCCUCUGUCCUGCUCCACAGGUAGGCAUAGGGGAUCAAACUCAGUAACUCAGAGCAUACCAUACUUUUGGCAAGUGUAAUUAAUUCAGGAAACAGAAAAUGACCCCAAAUGAGCCAAUCCAUUCUGCCUCCUACGUAGAACUUUUACUAUAGAAUUGGGAAAACCUGAAUGACAAUAACAACAGCAACAAAAAUUCUCAUCCUCUAGGGUAGCUAAGCUGAUGGGUGGGAAUCACCAGCUUUGGCUACUGUGUUUGUCAGUUCACUGAGAAUGGACCCAACACAGAAGAAAGACAAGGGAUGGAAACAAAAGGAGAGUCCAGAUGAUGUGAUUUGAAUCCCUGGAUAUCAGUAUGCCAGGAACCACAUUCUUUGAAGUAAUAGAUAGAACAACUAGACAGAAGAUUAACAAGGAACUGGAGGCCUUGACUACACUAUGAAUCAACUAGACCUAACAGAUACAUACAGAACGAUCCAACUAACAACAGCAAGGUACACAUUUUCCUCAAGUUCACAUGGAACAUUCUCCAAGAUAAGUCCUAUCUUAGGCCACGAAACAAAUCUCAAUAAAUGUAAAAACAUUGAAAUCACAGAAAGUAUCUUUUCCAAUCACAAUGGAAUGAAAUUAGAAAUCCUUAACAUAAGGAAGUAUGGAAUUUCACAAAUAUGAGGAAAUUAAACAAAUUAGAAAAUACUGUAAAAUGAAUGAAAAUAAAAUACAACAUAAUGAAAUAAAUGAGAAACAACAAAAUGAGUGCUGAGAGAGAAAUUUAGAGCAGUAAACACCUACAUUAAAAAGUAGAACGAAUUCAGGGCCAGCCCUAUGGUCGAGUGGUUAAGUUCAUGUGCCCUUCUUUAGUGGCCCAGGGUUCACUGGUUCAGAACCUGGGCACCGACCUACACAUCACUCAUCAAGCCAUACUGUGGCAGCAUCCCACAUAGAAGAUCUAGAACGACUUACAGCUAGGAUAUACAACUAUGUACUGGGGCUUUAGGAAGGAAAAAGAAAACAAAAAGAUUUGCAACAGAUGUUAGCUCAGGGCCGAUAUAGAGAUUAGAGUGGAGAUACCAAAAUAGAGAAUAGAAGAACAAUAGAGUCAACAUUAUGAAAAGUUUCUUCUUUGGAAAGGUCAAUAUUGACAAAUCUUUAAGUAGAUAGACCCACAAAAAAAGAGAGAAGGCUCAAAUGACUAAAAUCAGAACUUAAACUGGACGUUACUACUGACUACGCAGAAAUAAAAAGAAUUGAAAAAACAGUUGAAAUGCUAAGACCAUUCAAUGGAGAAAGAAUAGUCUUUUUCUAUAAAUGGUGCUAGGACAACUUGAUAACCAAAUGGGAAAUAAUGAAUUUGGAACCCUACCUCACACCAUAUAAAAAGGUAAUUCAAAAUGGAUCAAAGAUCUAAAUGUAAGAGCUAAAACUAUCAAACCCUUAGAAGAAAACAUAGGUUUAAAUCUUUGUGACCUUUCAGUAAGCAAAAAUUUCUUAAAUAUGACAGCAAAAGCACAAGCAAAAAUUAGAAAAACAGAUACAUUGCAC